CAUCUUUCACGCAGUGAACUUCAAAGGCAAGGGCAGCCACUGAAGCAUCGUUCCGGGUCUCCCCGCCAAAGCCACGUACCUCACUUAAGUGAACAUGCAAGUUCGUAACCAAGCUGACCUUCACCAUGGCUGCUACACGGCGGGCAUUACUGAUUCGUGUUGGAGUCUUACAGA